rnacentral:miRNA from 1 species
UUGAGAAUCCUGAUGAUGUUGCAG